UCUAGUAAGCUUACAGUGUGGAUGAC
rnacentral:piRNA from 1 species